CAAGAAACACAACGGAGUCCAGGCAGCGCAACAAGCAGGAGUGAGACACCGCUACAGGCUGUUUAUUAUUUAUACCGGCUUUCAGGGUUUUAUUUCCGCAUCGCUCACUGACAGUCCGGAUCCAUUCUGAAACAUUUGUGUCCGGAGUGAGGAGCACAGGAGCCGCCGGUGGGAACUGAUGGCUGGUGCUGCGGUUAAAGGUUGUUUGGACUUGUAAGGAAUAAAGAAGAUGACUAUUGCACACUUCUGAAUAAAGGUUUACGAUGAUGGCAGAACAAAUGGAUCAGAGCGAGGAUGUGGGUCUGGUGAUCCUGCAAGAGGCCAGUGACCCUCAAAAAGAGGAUGAGCCACACUGUACACAUCAUUUCAGACAAGCCAUCAUGCAGCAGCUGAUAGACGAUCUCUCUUACGAAGAUGUAAAGAAAUGUUAUCGGGGAUCUACUGUCAGCAAGUACAACUCUCAGUACCACAAACUUUUCCAGAACCUUCCCAAAGAGGAGAUCCUCAUGAAAGUCUACUCGUGCGCUCUCCUAAGGGAUAUCUUGUUGCAAGGGCGACUCUAUAUUUCCCGCAACUGGCUGUGUUUCUACGCUAACCUCUUUGGCAAGGACAUCAAGGUGGCCAUCCCUGUAGUUUCAGUUCGUCUGGUGAAGAAGCACAAAACAGCUGGCUUGGUCCCUAAUGGCCUUGUCAUCACUACAGACACCAGUCAGAAGUAUGUUUUUGUUUCACUCCUGUCUCGGGACAGCGUGUAUGAUGUCCUCAGGAGAAUCUGCACCCAUCUGCAGGUCAAUGGUAAGAAGAGUCUGAGUCUAAAGCAGUAUCUAGAAGAGCCUGGAUCACUGUCAAAUGAUGAGUUCCCAGUGGCCAGCACUUACCCUGAGGUGUUAAAGUGGCGCAGGAAGCCUUCAGUUUCACCUGUCUCUUCAUCUCUACCUGAUCUGUUGGGAAAUUCCACUAACACUGCUGUUAAACCUCCAUUUGCAACUGAAACUCAAUUGCAGGAGAGGCAUCUGGAGACUGAGAAUAUUCUGCUGACUGAGCCUGUACCAGAACUAGGUCACAUGGAAUACCAGCUCCUCAAAUUCUUCAUCCUGCUGUAUGUGCCCAAACCAAAUCCACUCCAACUGAUAUUAUACUGCUGAUUAUGUCAUCCUGUUACCUGGCUUUCCGUGUUUGCAGUCUAGAAGAGCAGCUUUCCUUCCUCAACACACAUCCUACACUACCCAUGAGAGACAGGUAGCAUAGGUCGAAAAGAGGCCUUGUUCUCAUCCAGUGUAGCUUUUAGCAGAUAGAAAAGAAUCACGUAGUGGAGUCUGGGACAGGAUCUACUGUAUAUUUUUCCAUUUCUGACCAAGCAGCAGUGAAGGAAUAUAUAAAUGAUGUUACUUUCUUGUCUGGAUUGAACUUUUUAAACAUAAAGUAGAUCAUGGUACAGUAUAAGACACAAGGUAAUGUCAGUAAAGAGCAGUGAUAGUGGUUGUACUCACUGCUCCUUGACAUUUCCACUAUGGGACAGAACCCUACGACACCAUACACCAGCCAGUCCAAGAGGCCCAGGACAAUCGGACACCGUGUCUGUUCCUUCUACAUUCUUCAGAUGUCGAUCAUUUCAAGAGACGCACCAGCAAAAUGCAGAUAUACUGAAGUGCCAGUGAGAUGCGUUUGCUUUAGAGAGAUGAUGCAUAAAGGGCUUUGCUUUGGAAGUUACUUUGGAGUAUACUGUGUAGUGAGAAAAUGCAUCUCAGGUUGGAUGAAUCGUUUCACCUUCGCAGUUAGGUUUUAUUGUUAAAGUUGAAAUCAGUUGUGUUGGUUUUUAUUCAAAACAAAUUAAAAGCGAUCGGGGCGGCAAUGCCACUAAAACACACAUGAAGCAUUUCAUUGUACUGCAAUAUUUUAACUCUGCUUCGGAUUUACUGCAUUCUGCUGUAGGAAGAAGUCGUAUGUAGUGAUUUACUUGAAAAGACAUAGGAGCGCACAGGCACAAACGAAAAGCACAUUUAUAAAUGAUAAUAGGUGCAAUUUGCUUUUAUACCAUAGAUUUACUAUAUUUAUUUGUAAUAUUUUAUACAACUUAGGAUUUCCUUUGUUCUUUGUAUUGACUCGUAUAUAUUUUAUGAUUGUUACACAUCAUUGACUAAUAAACGGUUUUAACCUG